rnacentral:rRNA from 1 species
UCAGAGGCGAUGAAGGACGUGCUAAUCUGCGAUAAGCGUCGGUAAGGUGAUAUGAACCGUUAUAACCGGCGAUUUCCGAAUGGGGAAACCCAGUGUGUUUCGACACACUAUCAUUAACUGAAUCCAUAGGUUAAUGAGGCGAACCGGGGGAACUGAAACAUCUAAGUACCCCGAGGAAAAGAAAUCAACCGAGAUUCCCCCAGUAGCGGCGAGCGAACGGG